AUGAUGACCACGCUGAAUGAAGAUGGUGCUGGGAAGAUGAGCUGGUGUGUUGCAACGAGCAGAGCCAGAGAGGGACCUCUGCAGGGUCUUUAUGAGAGAGGCAGAGAAAGGUUUGACACACACAGAGCAGAAGCCAGUGAAGAUGGAGCAGAGAGAGAUUUGAAGAUGCUGUUGAAAACUGGAGUGAUGUGGCCUCAAGUCAAGGAAUGUCAGCAGCCAUCAAAAGCUGAAAGAGGUAUAAACCACUCACUCACCUAUUAAUUGUAAGCAUAAAGAGCCCAGGAGCUGGCGUCUGAAGACAAACACAGCUCCUCCACACUUUACUCCCACAUCCUUGGGAAACACUGCUUAUACUAGAAGAGUCUAUUUCCCUAUGUGCCCACUCCACUUUAUAGCACUGCAGAGAGGAUCACAGCUAACAUUUACGAGUGCCUUUUGUAAAGUGAAUGUGCAGUGGCAAUUUGAAUCUGAUUUUAUUUGGAUCCUCCCCAUUGAUACAACUGGGUGGGACUAAUAGGAUGCCCUGCUUUCUUUUAGCCUAAGGACAAAAAGAAGGGCAAAAAGAUUGGAAACUGCUGAGGUCCUUGUGUUUACAGGAGCAUUCCCACAAAGAACAGCCAAGCAGUUUCUAAUUUUGAGACCCUUUGGAGCAGCCCACUUCCUCCCAGCUCUGAAUCUGGUUCUGCAGCUUUCUUUUCCAACCUGUCAGCGCUGUACAUCCUUCUGAUAAAUUUGAUUUUUGAUUAAGCAAGCCAUGUCAGUGUCUGUUGAUGGAAAUCAAAGAGCCUUCGCUGAUAUUAAAAUAUAAGGCCUGAUUAUCAAAGCCUUGAAUGCCGUGCUAUGGAAUUUGGACUUUAUUUUGAGGGCAAUGAGGAAUUGUAAUAAAGAUAGCACAUGAAUGAAAUGUUAAAUGACUUGCCAAAAUGUCUGGCCAUUCUCACUUACCGGCUUCAUAAGGAUCUGGAAUUCUCCAUAGAGAUAACAUGCUAAACAAGUGGCCCUCAAUAAGACAAAAAAUAUUAAUCUUUGUAUUCCUGUUAAAGUAAACAUGGCUUUCCAAAUGACUUAAUUUUGCUCAGGAAUGAAUAAAUACUGAGCUCAUAGAGCUCUCUAUACUUUCCCUUUUUUAUGGUUGGAACAUGAAAUAACAAUUGUUACCUAGAUUAAGAUGUUUAUAAAUACAUAGGAGUAGUUCUAUGUAUGCUUCCUGUUUUGUUAUUGUCAUACACUUUUGCACAUUUUA